rnacentral:rRNA from 1 species
GAUGAACGCUGGCGGCGUGCCUAAUACAUGCAAGUAGAACGCUGAAGGAGGAGCUUGCUCUUCUGGAUGAGUUGCGAACGGGUGAGUAACGCGUAGGUAACCUGCCUGGUAGCGGGGGAUAACUAUUGGAAACGAUAGCUAAUACCGCAUGACAACAGUUAUUGCAUGAUAACUGUUUAAAAGGGGCAACUGCUCCACUACCAGAUGGACCUGCGUUGUAUUAGCUAGUUGGUGAGGUAACGGCUCACCAAGGCGACGAUACAUAGCCGACCUGAGAGGGUGGUCGGCCACACUGGGACUGAGACACGGCCCAGACUCCUACGGGAGGCAGCAGUAGGGAAUCGUCGGCAAUGGACGGAAGUCUGACCGAGCAACGCCGCGUGAGUGAAGAAGGUUUUCGGAUCGUAAAGCUCUGUUGUAAGAGAAGAACGAGUGUGAGAGUGGAAAGUUCACACUGUGACGGUAUCUUACCAGAAAGGGACGGCUAACUACGUG